GGGACUUCCUAUUUAAUGGUCCUAAUAGUAAAGACAUUACCUUUUAAUGAACACAACCAGUCACGAUGUUUUCAUCUAUCAAACAAAUCACUUCAAAAACCUAGACUACCUAAAACGUAGGCUACCUGGGCACGUUGGCCCACUCCAAAAUAAUUCCAGUACCCAAACAAUGCACUGUGCACCUGCCAUUUGAUGGAGGGAAAGAGACGUUACAAAAUCACAAAAAGUGUAAUGACAUUCGCGAUUGUCAUUAGGCCUACAAUAUUGUAGCCUGAAUUAAUUGAUGCGUCUUGCUGACAAAUGAAAAAUAUAUCAUAAUCGGGACACGUGAAAAGGGGCUGAAAUUGUCACGUUUCUCUAAAGCUGAACCCAGAAGCAGACCAGGACAAGGUGAGUAAAAUGAAGGUGAGUAUUUAUUCACAGACUCGAGGCAGCGGAGGUGAGUUGAUGAGAGUGAAUAGGCAGAUCCAAUGAUGUCACUGAAACCACCGACGACCAGGCAAGGGGGGCGAAUGUUCCGGGAGGAUGACUGUAGACAGCGUAAACAGGGUUGAGUAACCGGCAAGAAGUACAUAACAACAAAACUAACUCUGGUAACAUGAGCUGAUACGCUGACACAACCUAAUGUUCAUUGCUAACGAUCCGGCAGGGAAUGGAUGUCAGGUCAGGGUUUAUGAAGAGAAGAGGUGAUGAUCAGGACCAGGUGUGCAGAUGGCUGAUGAGAUGCAGGUGCGGGUAAUUGAGAGAUCUCCCGCCUAGCUUCGUCGCCCGGCAACCAGACAGGGUGUGUUCAGAAACAACUCCAAAACAGAAAACAGUCAGCUCAGGCAGAACACAGACUCAGGAAGCGGGAUUCAUGACAGGAAUACAGGACAAAAAUACAGCUGUGUCUGUCCGGAGCUCAUUAGUGCGGGGAAACUGUGAGGGUCCAGUUAAAACAAUGUUGCAAGUUCGCUAGCGAGCUGGACCAAGUCGUUACAAUGUUGCAAGUUUGCUAGGGAAAGCUCAAGACAGACAGAGAGAGACAGGAGACAGGCGGAGUAGAGAGAUUAAUGCGAUUGAAAGAACCUGAACAAACUGUCACUGGUUUAAGCCUAAGCACGAAACAUGGAGAUGCCUUCAAAUUAUGUAGGCAACACCACUCAAAUUUACGUAAAAUAAUUCAAAAUAGUCCCUUUAAUAUUCAGAAUGUUGAAUACACUUCAGUGGUGUUAGUCGGAUUUUGAGACAAAGUAUCCACAGAAGUGUUAUUAACCCCAUGUUUUAGGUAUAUACUGUGUAUAUAUAUAAAAAAUUACUACACAAAAUUAGAAACAAUUUACAUCCCUACAUCAAACAUGUCUAACAAAACAAAACACAAGUAUAAACAAGAAAAUACUACUAUAUCCUUACUACUAUAAUACUAUAUCCUUCAUGUUAAAAACAGGAGUAGUGCUCAAAAAGGUAAAUAUGUAUUCUGCAAGGUUUUUCCAAAACUCUAUCACAGAUUUACAUCCAUAGAACAAGUGAGUUAGAUUUUCACCUUUUUCUUUUGCAGAAAACGCAGAUAUCAUCAAUAUCAACAAAUUUGGACAACAUAGAAUUACAUGGAUAUAUCUUAUGUAGAAUCUUAAAGUGCACUUCCUUAAAUUUGUUUGGUAUAAAAUAUCUGUAAGGCUUCAAACAAGCUUUUUCCCCAGACAUAGUCAGGAAUAAGCAUGUUCCAGAAAAUGUUUCCUCUAGGCAUAAAUUGGUUCCGUGAAUGGAAAAUGUGUAUUUGUUACAAGAUUUCUCGAGUAAGUCCACGCCUUUCAAACUGAGUUCUGGAUAAACUCUGUGAUCAUCACCAAAGCUAAGAUUAAUUUUCAUUAGUGUAGUAAGACCACUGGGAAUGGCUUUUUAUCACAGAAAUAAACUCUCUGAAAGUUAUUGGAAACUCAUUCAAUGUUAUAAAUUUGAAAGAAUAUUACCCCUGUUGGUGAAAACAUUAAGAACAAAGUCAAUAUUCCUCUCAUGGCAGCUAGGGUAGAACAAUUACUUAUUCCUUACAGUUAUGCCUGAAUUAUUCCACAAAAGAGCUUUAUGUGGGGUAAAAUUGUACAGGAAACAUUAAAGAUUGUUGGUGAAACCUACACUGAAAAAACGGGACAGAUUUAUGUGAUUUACUCAAACAUGUUUUGUUUCUCCUCACAACACAAUUUCAUUGUUUGCGAUCAAUGCAACACGAAGCAAAAUCUGAUCUACUAGUUUGAAUCAUGUAGUUGGAGUGUGAACCAAUAAAGCUAAUUCAUGACGAGUAAUGAGGAAGAAGUCAAACCGCGUGAGAGAAGAAUCUUCCAGAAAGAUCCUUGGCGCGUUAGCGGAGAAGACAAUAUCUAGAAUCGUGGUCAAGGAGAAACAGAAGAGAGCCUCGAGGACAUGCGGAAAGCUCUACUGUCUGAUGUGAAGAAAAGGAACAACAGAGAGACGGUGAAGUUCAAAAUGGAGAAGACGUUUGCAUACAGGAGACAUUAAGUUGUCCGUGACGCACCCUUGGUAGAGGACUUCAUGGCAAGAUGGCCUGCGCUCUUUGAAGUCAUUGAGGGAAGUUAGCCAUGCUUGUUUUAUUGUUGAUCUAUUGGUCAUGUUAUCUGAGAUUGGUUGGUGAAGGUAGAAGAUUGUUUUCCCUCAGCUUGCCUAAUUGGGCAUGGAUGAAGAGUCCACCAAGGCAGCUGUUGAGGACACUACUGUGGGGAUCUACAUUAUCAAAGACCAUUUCGCGAGUGAGGAUCCAGGGGACACUGGGAUUGUCCUUGAAGGCGUCAAGGUGCUGCAGGAUCUGGGCAACGUAGCAUUUGCUGUUGCAAUGCUGUUCGGCCUCAUGUAUGCCAUGAACCUCAGUUACCCUAACUGAGCCCCGCUACACUUUUGAUGUCUUUCAGAAGGUUUUUAUGGAACUGAAUGGGGACAAACUUUCUAACAAAGCUGUUGCAUUUAAAAACAGGCUGUUUCAGUGAGCUGUUUUGUUGUAUGUUGUGUUUCACACUGUAUGUUUGACUUAUGUUUAACUUGUUAGAUUGUUCACAAAAACUCAAAACAGAAUGAGCAUGUCCAAAGAUGGAGCUAUCGUGAUUUCCUUAAUUUUCUUUGCUGCUUAUGGAAAAAGUUCAGUUUCACUUUGUAGUGACUUUUAGUCAAUAUAAUUAACAUGCACAAAUAUGUCCACAUACCUACCUCAUUCUUUGUCUGUUACUCCUUAUGAAAAAUAACUACCUCAUUUUGUAACAAAAUGCAUUAGAGGGCCCAAUCAUUGUUAGGACAACUCUUCUUUUUUUAUAUAUACAGAUACUGUAUAAAGGCUACAGCCCCUUGAUUUAGACCUGUGCAAUUCAUUGAACACUGAAUGUCAGUGAAUGGACAUUUGUCAUUCCAAAGAGCUGAACCGUUACAAAAAAUACAAUAUCAUUUUUGAAACGCAUGCCUUUGCCUUCUUUGUCACUGAUGCAAAUGGUCUCUUGCUCCUUGGUUACACAUCCUUAGAAAACGUUUUAUUUCCCUAUUAAUUUGUUUAAAUACAAACACUAAGGCAGAAAAUGACAGCAUUUCAUCUUGUGCUUACAUUAAUAAUUAUGUAGAACCUUAAAUUAUGGACAAAGUUAUUCAUAAUUAUGAGUAACAUCGGAACAUGAUCAAAUACAUUUCAAGCUACACAUUUAAUUCAAAUAAAAUUUAC
rnacentral:lncRNA from 1 species